rnacentral:lncRNA from 1 species
UCAACAUAACUUUUAAACAAAGAGCAUGUGGUUAUUCUCCUUAUUUUUUCCACUGGAUCACCUGGAAAACAAAGUAAAUAAAGAGUUGAUAAUGCAUCCAAAAAAGAGAGAGAAAGAGGGAUAAAAACAUAGUCAUGUUAUUAAAACAGAAUAGAACACCUUCUUAAUAUGGCUGAAGCUUCAUCUGUAAUGUUAGCUCAUAACCUGAAAACAUAAAAGAUAUUAUUAGCAUGAAGAUUAGUUCUUAAUUUUAUCAUUAGAGAAUUUAGCUCUAAAUCUUCUCUUACAAAUGUUGUUGUUGCUCUGUUUCUGGACAUCUCCAAAACCUUCUUCACAUAGCCUAAAACAACAAACCACUUGUUUAAGACUCUCCAAGGAAGUCUGAGCUAAAAGAAAGCUAGUUCCAUCACAAUAUAGACAUCAUCAUGAUCCUAAUAUGCAUCGUAAAAAUGAAGAGAUUAUCAUGACCAGACAAAGUUUUCAAAAUAUUCACUUCUCUCCUCACAUUUUCAAUGGCAAUGGCCGUCCUAAUCUACACAAUAAUUACAAACAAUCUAACAGAUCUCAUAACUGUCACAAAACCAGAAGAUAUCAAAUCGAAAAGCACUUUUUUAUCAAAAAGCACUAACCUUUGCUUUGUGAAUAACAUUAACAACGACUUUUAUCACUUUUCUUAAGCUUAAGAGCACAAAAAUGGCCACGACUGUGACACCCCCGAUCGUAGAUGACCGGAAAUGACAUGGUCGAUGUUCCUCGAUUGUCGAUCUGAGGUUCUCAGAAUACUUCCGAUCGCCUUAGACCAACAACCAAAGAACACCAACGCUCCUAUCGGAUAUAACUCUAGGCUUUUCAACCCGACAAAGCAAUACCCGAUAGUUAGUUCGUCCAGACAAGGACUAAUAUCAUAUGAAACCCGUACUUAAAAAAACAUUCUUUAUCUAUCAAUCAAAAGCAUCUUACAAAAUUUUUUAUAAAUUAACCUCGAGGUUUUUGGUCUACAAAUCUUAUACAUAAGAUAUAUCAAAAUGACUUUGCAAGGAUAAUAAAACUACCGCUGGCUAAUGAUGUUCCUUCCCAUCCUAAAGUAAGGUCUCCC